rnacentral:rRNA from 1 species
GACGAACGCUGGCGGCGUGCUUAAUACAUGCAAGUCGAACGGAAAGGCCCUGCUUUUGUGGGGUGCUCGAGUGGCGAACGGGUGAGUAACACGUGAGUAACCUGCACUUGACUUUGGGAUAACUUCAGGAAACUGGGGCUAUUACCGGAUAGGAGCUCCUGAUGCAUGGUGGGGGUUGGAAAGUUUCGGCGGUUGGGGAUGGACUCGCGGCUUAUCAGCUUGUUGGUCGGGUAGUGGCUUACCAAGGGUUUGAAGGAUAGCCGGCCUGAGAGGGUGACCGGCCACAUGAGGACUGAGAGACGGCGCAGACGCCUACGGGAGGCAGCAGUGGGGAAUAUUGCGCAGUGGGCGGGAGCCUGAGGCAGCAACGCCGCGUGCGGGAUGACGGCCUUCGAGUUGUAAACCGCUGUCGCCGGUGACGAAGCGUGAGUGACGGUAAUGGGUAAGAAAGCACCGGCUAACUACGUG